rnacentral:rRNA from 1 species
AGUGAACGCUGGCGGUAGGCCUAACACAUGCAAGUCGAACGGCAGCACAGUAAGAGCUUGCUCUUACGGGUGGCGAGUGGCGGACGGGUGAGGAAUACAUCGGAAUCUACUUUUUCGUGGGUGAUAACGUAGGGGAACUUACGCUAAUACCGCAUACGACCUACGGGUGAAAGCAGGGGAUCUUCGGACCUUGCGCGAGUGAAUGAGCCGAUGUCGGAUUAGCUAGUUGGCGGGGUAAAGGCCCACCAAGGCGACGAUCCGUAGCUGGUCUGAGAGGAUGAUCAGCCACACUGGAACUGAGACACGGUCCAGACUCCUACGGGAGGCAGCAGUGGGGAAUAUUGGACAAUGGGCGCAAGCCUGAUCCAGCCAUACCACGUGGGUGAAGAAGGCCCUCGGGUUGUAAAGCCCUUUUGUUGGGAAAGAAAAGCAGCAGGUUAAUACCCCGCUGUUCUGACGGUACCCAAAGAAUAAGCACCGGCUAACUUCGUG